ACGUACCCCACUGCAGCCUGCCACUUCCUUAUGCUGCCAACACGUACCCCACAGCAGCCUGCCACUUCCUUUUGCUGCCAACACGUACUCCACUGCAGCCUGCCACUUCCUUAUGCUGCCAACACGUACCCCACAGCAGCCUGCCACUUCCUUAUGCUGCCAGCACGUACCCCACAGCAGCCUGCCACUUCCUUAUGCUGCCAAGGUUCCUAUAGAAGUAGAAUACGGUAACACCUUUUAAACAGCUGUGGGAAAAAGAAAAAGGUACAUAUCUCCCAGAAUGCUCCAUGAGACCAAGCAUAUGAGGAGAAUAACAAAGGCUGUGUAUAUUCAAUCAACUAUCACAGGUUGGUCUGGAAUCUGAAUGUGCUGCUGAUACAAAAGAAUCCACCUACAAAGGGACAUCAGCCUUACAAUGGACCCUUGGUUUUUCUGAGGAGGAGAAGGACUAAUGUUCUUAGAAACAAGCAGAUACUGGACAAAACAUGCACAAAACUUGGCCAAGUCAUAAGGAGACAGCAAGAGAUCCACGAGAGGGCACUCCAAGGCAUAGGAAAGACUGUCAGGUCACAUCAAGCUCCAAGCAUCAAAAAAAACGAGACCCACUGUAUUCUUGCUUUUAAGAGCAGGAAUGACAAUUCUUGGCAAUGGAGCUUCUGUUUGCUGCAGCUCCCAGCAUUCCAUGACCUAGUGCAUUGUCCGGUCUAAUGUUCAGAGCACCAACGUAGAUGCAAAGCUUAGAGGAGGGAGACGGAACCAAAGGGAUUCUAACCAGGAAAAGCAAACAGAAGCCUAUACCAUCAGUUUCCAACUGUCAAGGAUGAAGGUAGACCAAGGAUAAAACUGGCUGUCCAAGAUUGCAGAAUAAACCAUUUGUUUUGGCGAA